rnacentral:rRNA from 1 species
UACCAGCACCCCGAGUGGUCGGGACGAUUAUUGGGCCUAAAGCAUCCGUAGCCGGUUCUGCAAGUCCCCCCGUUAAAUCCAGCUGCUCAACAGAUGGGCCGCGGAGGAUACUACAGAGCUAGGAAGGCAGGAGAGGCAAGCGGUACUCAGUGGGUAGGGGUAAAAAUCCGUUGAUCCAUUGAAGACCACCAGUGGCGAAGGCGCUUGCCAGAAUGCGCUCGACGUAGGGAUGAAAGCUGGGGAGCA